AGAUUGAACGCUGGCGGCAUGCCUAACACAUGCAAGUCGGACGGGAGUAGCAAUACUCUAGUGGCGGACGGGUGAGGAAUACGUAGGAAUUUGCCCUUAAGUGGGGGAUAACCCGGGGAAACCCGGAUUAAUACCGCAUGACCUCGAAAGAGCAAAGUGGGGGAUCGCAAGACCUCACGCUUUUGGAGAAGCCUACGUCGGAUUAGCUAGUUGGAGAGGUAACGGCUCACCAAGGCAACGACGGGUAGC
rnacentral:rRNA from 1 species